UACGUAGGGUGCGAGCGUUGUCCGGAAUUAUUGGGCGUAAAGGGCUCGUAGGCGGUCUGUCGCGUCGGGAGUGAAAACUCAGGGCUUAACCCUGAGCCUGCUUCCGAUACGGGCAGACUAGAGGUAUGCAGGGGAGAACGGAAUUCCUGGUGUAGGCGGUGGAAUGCGCAGAUAUCAGGAGGAACACCCGUGGCGAAAGCGGCUCUCUGGGACGGUACUGACGCUGAGACGCGAAAGCGUGGGGAGCAAACAGG
rnacentral:rRNA from 1 species